rnacentral:lncRNA from 1 species
UCGGGAGCCCUCACUGGGGCCAGGCACAAGCCCAUUUGGUGGAGGAGGACCCAAGCUGGAGCGGGAACCAGCUUCCCGACGCCCCUCGGGGAGCCCAGGCCUUGCCAGCCCUGGGACCCACCCCGGUGUCUGUCCCCUCUGCAGGGAGGACACCCCGUGGGUUUUCUCACAUCCUAGGCAGACACGGGUCUGGGAGGGUCCCGCCAGCUGCCCCUGGGAGAGGGGAAGGCCCCAGGGCAGGCGGCCGGCCGUUGGGGUGGUCAGACAUACCGGGUGGGGCUGGAGCUGGCUGAGUGCCAGGGGGCAUCCAAACGGUUGGGGAACUCCAGGUGAUGGGGAGCCCCCUGGGUUACUGAGCAGGCGCAGUGGGCUCUCAGGAGAGUAGCCCGCUGGGGGCCGGCCAGGGACGAGGGGCUCUCCGUCCGCCAUGCUCCCCUCCUCCCUCCCGUCUCCCCCCGGGGCUCCCCCUCCCCUGGGGCUCCUCCCCCUUCCCCUCCUCUCUCCUCUCCUCUCCCGAGGGGCUCCCCUCCUCCUCCCCUUCCCCGCAGCUACCCCCUCCCCUCCUUCUCCCCUCCCCCCCAGGCUCCCCCUCCCUGGGCCCCUCGGGCGCAUGUUCCCAUCAUCUCCGUGUGGCGGGGAGCUCAGCUUCGCAGGGUCCUACCAGGUGCCCAGAGCCCCUGACCGACCAGCCCGGACCCGCGGGAAGGGUCCCCCCGGGGCAGUGCCAAGAGCGCCCACCAGGGGGCAGGGGCGGGCCGGGAACGGGCGGGCGGCGGCUCCUCCGGGCUCCUGCCGAACGGACCGCGCUGGGGGCUGGGACUGACGGUCAGGUCCGCGUCGUCCUGAGCUGGGCCAGGCCGGGUGCCAGGACCCUUGUCGGCGCAUCCGCCCUCACAUAUUGCCCCCUGGGGAAGGUCCUAGGACUGCUUCUCUCAGACGGGAAACUGAGGCACAGAGUCUCGCAGCUGGUGGAGCUGGGGUUCAAGUCCAGGCAGAGCCUUUGGGCUUAUGAGGGAGACUACCCCACAGACGGCGGGCAGCUCCCCAAGGCCCCAGGAGGAGGAGCUGUGCCCAGAGCAGAGAGAAAGAACUGCUGCGCAAAGGCCCUGAGGUGGGGACCAGGCUGCAGAGACCCUGAGCCCCAGCGUCCACCACUCCUCCCCCUCUGGGCCCUGUGCCCACCGCCGUGCACAGCCCUGAGCGAGGAGCCCUCUUUGCAGAUGGGGACACUGAGGCAGGUCUCGUGGGCGACGCGUGGCUGCGGGGGGUGCUGCGAGGCUGGAUGGAGAGUCAAGGGGGCCCCCAGGCAGUGUGUAAGAAGGAUGCUGCUGCUGUGAAGAUGCGGCCGCGGUCUGUUACUGGUGGUUCCCAAUAACAGUGCGUAGGCGUCGGAUCUGAGACAUCAGACCCCAGCGCUAAAUCCAGUGGCUUCACAUAGAGACGACGCUGCCUUGUGGCCACAUUCCUGAGCACCUACUGUGUGCCAGGCAAGGUGCUGCUAGCUUUCCCACGGCUCGUCACACAGCCACCCCUGCGCCUCAGCCUGCGGGGAGAGAAGGCCUGGGUCAUGGGGCUGAGAGGCUUCUCAGAGGAGGUGACCUAUGAACAGAGCCCCAAGGGCCGAGGAGAAGAGUGUUGGCACCAAAGGGACAGCCUGUGCAAGGGCCCUGGGGCAGGAGUGAGCUUUAUAGGGAACAGUGGGGGGCAGUGUGGGUGGGGAACAGGGAAUGGAGAGCUUUGCAGGGUCCCAGCAAGGCCUCAUCCCCGCCAGGCCUUGGCCCAGGCUGUGCGCCCUGACAGGAGCAGCUGCAUUGCUGGCCCAAGGAGCCCCUGACAGGCCCCAGACCACCUUGGCUGUGGGACCUCAGCCCUCAGCUUCCUCAUCAGCAGAGCAGGCGAUGCUCUGACCCUACUCGAGGUGCUGCGGGCCGUCUCCUCCCCACAGGCUGCCCUUCCCACUUGCCCUCCGCAGGGGCACUCCCCACUCCCCUGCCCACCUGCCCUGAGGGCCUCUUAGUUGUGUGACCUCUGGCAGGUUGCCUCCCCUCUCUGGGCCUCUUCUUCCAUCCACCUUCCUGAUGUAGAGGCGAGGGAUGGAGGGGAGGCCCCAGCUGGAGCUGAGGAGGCAGUGUCCCCACCCGGCCUGCCCUACAUCCUCUGUCCGCCAUGCCGUGCAGAGGCCUGCCCACUCGGGAGGCCGGUCACAGCAGGACACAGCUGGGCCCCAGCAGCCAGCCUGGCCUGGGAGCAUCUGCUGAGGGAGGCGCCACACGGACCUGCGGGGUGUGCAGUGUGGGCUGGAGGCGGCUGGGCAGGGCGUGAACCCAGGCGCUGGCCCUCGGUGGCCGUCCAGUCCUGGGGCUGUCCCAUUAGACCCCACUCACCUCCAGGCUGCUGUCUCCUGCUCAUAUUUUGGAGUGGAUCCUUACUUUUCAGGACUCACAGUGUGCGUUUCCCGAGUCCAGUGGACGGGGUAGGGUGGGAGACGCUGGGGGCAGAGGUGGCCGGGCUGCAGAGGGGUGGCCAUGGGAGGGGAGCGCGGCCGGCUGUCGGCGGCCUGACAGAUGGGCUCCCUCCUCCACCGCCCGCCUUUCCCAGGCUGAGUCCGGCCGGCCUUCUCAUCCAAACAUCCAGGGGAUGCCACCGCGGCAGAAAAAUGAUGCUGUUCCAUUAACAUCUGACACGGAUUUGCAGGCCCCAAACAGACGGGCGCGCGUGUAAACACCGGCCUGGCUGGGCCCCCGCCCGCCCGGCUCAAAGCGGGAUCCUGGUAAUUAAUUGUCCGCCCGCUGGCCCCCCGCCCCGCCACCCCGGCCAGUGUGGUUUUGAGAUUGCAGCCCUUCAGGCCCCCCGCAAACUGCAUUUCCCAAACAACGGAUGUGCCCUAGCUGCCGGAAGGAGCAGAGGGAAGCGCCCGGCUAGCGGGCGGGGCCCAGCUCCCCCCAGGAGCCCGGGGGGUCAGGUGCCGAGAGGGCGCAGCCCCGGGCCCAGGGGCCUCCAGCCCACUGAGCGCCUGGCACGGCCAGCCGCGGUUUCUCAUUCCACUCGUUUCGGCUGACUUUGUGAGGGUGUAAGCCACCUCGACAUUGUUACAACAUGUGUCUUUUUACCUUGAAGAGAGAGGAUGCUAGAAUGCUAUUCUAGAACAUUCAGCAUCAGUGACACCUCGCGCACGUGCGCAUGUGUGUGUGUGUUUGCACCACCAAUACCUUCUCUGCUUGUCAAAGGGAAGCUUAAAUAAACGGCAACAAUUCUCCCCCGUGUGUAGACUAAGCUUUGAUCUGCGGCAGCCCCACAUUUCUAUUUCCUCUCUUCCCUGCUUUUUGGGUUCAUUUCUUUUAGAGUUUAGGAAAACUGCCUGACGUUGCCAGUGGGGGCUAUCAAAGGUCUUGCUGCUCGGCACCCCAGCUGGUGGGGUACCCCACUGUGAGCUGUGAUAUGGGCACAGUCAUCUUACCUUCGAUGGGCUCACGGACGGCCCACGGUGUGUACUGGGAUCGGAUAUUUGCUCCUUUAUCCCACCUUUAAACCUGGGAAAGAACGUGGUCCUGCUUCCUUCUUCUUGAGUUUUAAACCGUCUGACGGCUCCCCUAGGGUGCCUGGGGUCCCCAGCUUCUCCGUGAACAUCCGGCGUCUGUGGCCCGAGUCGCAAGGAUGUUUGCUGGUGGCUCCUCCUAGACCGUGUGUCAGCUCCAGCAGAGUUUCUCAGUGUCUGUGCUCUGCUCCUCCCAGGGUCCCUGGGGCAGUCGGGCCAGGGUCCGUGAGAAGGAGGGGUCUGGGGCCCGGGGCAGAUGUGAAUAGGACGCCUUCUGGGGAAGGUUUUCCGCUGGUGUGUGUUUCCGCUCUGGACUCAGCACCGUGCAGUUCUCACGUCUGGCUUAGAGUAUGUUUCUAG